rnacentral:rRNA from 1 species
AUUGAACGCUGGCGGAAUGCUUUACACAUGCAAGUCGAACGGCAGCACGGGGGCAGCCCUGGUGGCGAGUGGCGAACGGGUGAGUAAUACAUCGGAACGUGCCCGGUCGUGGGGGAUAACGUAGCGAAAGUUACGCUAAUACCGCAUACGAUCUGAGGAUGAAAGCGGGGGACCUUCGGGCCUCGCGCGAUCGGAGCGGCCGAUGUCAGAUUAGGUAGUUGGUGGGGUAAAGGCCUACCAAGCCGACGAUCUGUAGCUGGUCUGAGAGGACGACCAGCCACACUGGAACUGAGACACGGCCCAGACUCCUACGGGAGGCAGCAGUGGGGAAUUUUGGGCAAUGGGCGCAAGCCUGAUCCAGCCAUUCCGCGUGCAGGACGAAGGCCUUCGGGUUGUAAACUGCUUUUGUACGGAACGAAAAGGCUCUGGCUAAUACCUGGAGCUCAUGACGGUACCGUAAGAGUAAGCACCGGCUAACUACGUG